rnacentral:RNase_P_RNA from 1 species
AUGGCAAAACGUUCUAUCGCUGUACCGAUGAGAGUCGGAACGGAGGAAAGUCCGGGCAACACAGAGCAUCCUGCUUCCUAACGGGAAGGCGCCGUACCAGCCGGCGACAGCAAGUGCCACAGAAAAAAUACCGCCGCGAUUUAUCGGGGUAAGGGUGAAAACGUGAGGUAAGAGCUCACGGCAUUACCGGGCGACCGGGAUGACGGUAAACCUCAGGAGUUGAAAAACCAAAUAGGUUCUGAAUUUAAAGCUGCUCGCUUUUAUAUGUUGUUCGCAACAUGGUCAGAAUGGGUAGGUUGUUAAAGUUUGGCAGCAAUGUCAAAAUAAGAUUAAUGAUAGAAAUUGCCCUUCGGGGCAACACAGAACCCGGCUUAUAGCUUUGCUGCUGGU